rnacentral:rRNA from 1 species
AUUGAACGCUCGCGGGAUGCUUUACACAUGCAAGUCGAACGGCAGCGCGGACUUCGGUCUGGCGGCGAGUGGCGAACGGGUGAGUAAUGUAUCGGAACGUGCCCAGUAGCGGGGGAUAACUACGCGAAAGCGUAGCUAAUACCGCAUACGCCCUACGGGGGAAAGCCGGGGAUCGUAAGACCUUGCACUAUUGGAUCGGCCGAUAUCGGAUUAGCUAGUUGGUGAGGUAACGGCUCACCAAGGCGACGAUCCGUAGCUGGUUUGAGAGGACGACCAGCCACACUGGGACUGAGACACGGCCCAGACUCCUACGGGAGGCAGCAGUGGGGAAUUUUGGACAAUGGGGGCAACCCUGAUCCAGCCAUCCCGCGUGUGCGAUGAAGGCCUUCGGGUUGUAAAGCACUUUUGGCAGGAAAGAAACGUCGCGGGCUAAUACCCCGUGGAACUGACGGUACCUGCAGAAUAAGCACCGGCUAACUACGUG